rnacentral:rRNA from 2 species
UUUCCAGAGAUGGAUUGGUGCCUUCGGGAACUGUGAGACAGGUGCUGCAUGGCUGUCGUCAGCUCGUGUUGUGAAAUGUUGGGUUAAGUCCCGCAACGAGCGCAACCCUUAUCCUUUGUUGCCAGCGGUUAGGCCGGGAACUCAAAGGAGACUGCCAGUGAUAAACUGGAGGAAGGUGGGGAUGACGUCAAGUCAUCAUGGCCCUUACGACCAGGGCUACACACGUGCUACAAUGGCGCAUACAAAGAGAAGCGACCUCGCGAGAGCAAGCGGACCUCAUAAAGUGCGUCGUAGUCCGGAUUGGAGUCUGCAACUCGACUCCAUGAAGUCGGAAUCGCUAGUAAUCGUGGAUCAGAAUGCCACGGUGAAUACGUUCCCGGGCCUUGUACACACCGCCCGUCACACCAUGGGAGUGGGUUGCAAAAGAAGUAGGUAGCUUAACCUUCGGGAGGGCGCUUACCACUUUGUGAUUCAUGACUGGGGUGAAGUCGUAACAAGGUAACCGUAGGGGAACCUGCGGUUGGAUCACCUCCUUACCUGAAAGAAGC